AGUGAACGCUGGCGGUAGGCCUAACACAUGCAAGUCGAGCGGCAGCACAGUAAGAGCUUGCUCUUACGGGUGGCGAGUGGCGGACGGGUGAGGAAUACAUCGGAAUCUACUUUUUCGUGGGGGAUAACGUAGGGAAACUUACGCUAAUACCGCAUACGACCUACGGGUGAAAGCAGGGGAUCUUCGGACCUUGCGCGAUUGAAUGAGCCGAUGUCGGAUUAGCUAGUUGGCGUGGUAAAGGCCCACCAAGGCGACGAUCCGUAGCUGGUCUGAGAGGAUGAUCAGCCACACUGGAACUGAGACACGGUCCAGACUCCUACGGGAGGCAGCAGUGGGGAAUAUUGGACAAUGGGCGCAAGCCUGAUCCAGCCAUACCGCGUGGGUGAAGAAGGCCUUCGGGUUGUAAAGCCCUUUUGUUGGGAAAGAAAAGCAGCAGGUUAAUACCCCGCUGUUCUGACGGUACCCAAAGAAUAAGCACCGGCUAACUUCGUG
rnacentral:rRNA from 1 species